UCCUGGCCGUAAACGAUGCGUGCUAAGUGUUGGUAUGGCUUUGAGCCGUAUCAGUGCCGUAGGGAAACCGUUAAGCGCGCCGCCUGGGGAGUACGAUCGCAAGAUUGAAACUUAAAGGAAUUGGCGGGGGAGCACCACAAGGGGUGAAGCCUGCGGUUCAAUUGGACCCAACGCCGGGAACCUUACCGGGGGCGCCAGCAGUAUGAAGGUCAGGCUGACGACCUUACCAGACA
rnacentral:rRNA from 1 species